GUAAAGCCUCUGAGCCCAAGCCUGCAGGUAUACAUCCAGAUGGCCUGAAGCAACUGAAGAAUCACAAAAGAAGUGAAAAUGGCCGGUUCCUGCCUUAACUGAUGACAUUACCUUGUGAAAUUCCUUCUCCUGGACAAUGAAUCUCAGGAGCUCCCCCACUGAGCACCUUGUGACCCCCCUGCCUCUGCCUGCAAGAGAACAACCCCCUUUGACUGUAAUUUUCCACUACCUACCCAAAUCCUAUAAAACUGCCCCACCCCUAACUCCCAUUGCUGACUCUCUUUUAGGACUCAGCCCACCUGCACCCAGGUGAUUAAAAAGCUUUAUUGCUCACACAAAGCCUGUUGGUGGUCCCUUUACAUGGAUGCACAUGACACUCUUGACUUUGAUUUUCUGCAGUAUGAAUAUGGGACAUGCAUGAAAUUUGGUGCCAUGACUCGGAUCGGGGGACCUCCUUUGGGAGAUCAAUCCCCUGUCCUCCUGAUCUUUGCUCCAUGAGAAAGAUCCACCUACCACCUCAAGUCCUCAGACUGACCAGCCCAAGAAACAUCUCACCAAUUUCAAAUCCGGACCCCACUGAAAAUCAGACUGUUCAACUCACCUGGCAGCCACUCCCAGAGCCCCUGGAACUCUGGCCCAAGGCUCUCUGACUGACUCCUUCCCAGAUCUUCUCAGCUUAGCAGCUGAAGACUGACACUGCCCGAUCGCCUCAGAAGCCUACAGGAACAUCACAGACGCUCUAGGUAACUCUCACAGUGGAAGGUAAGUCCGUCCCCUUCUUAAUACAGAGGCUACUCACUCCACAUUACCUUAUUUUCAAGGGCCUGUUUCCCUUGCUUCCAUAACUGUCAUGCGUAUUGACGGCCAGGCUUCUAAACCUCUUAAAACUCCCCAGCUCUGUUGCCAACUUAGACAAUACUCUUUUAAGCACUCCUUUUAAUUAUCCCCACCUGCCCAGCUCCCUUAUUAGGCUGAGAUACUUUAACUAAAUUAUCUGCUUCCCUGACUGUUCCUAGGCUACAGCCACACCUCAUUGCUGCCUUUUCCCCCAGUUCAAAGCCUCCUUCCCAUCCUCCCCUUGUAUCUCCCCACCUUAACCCACAAGUAUGACACCUCUACUCCCUCCUUAGUGACCGAUUAUGCACCCCUUACCAUCCCAUUAAAACCUAAUCACCCUUACCCCACUCAAUGACAAUAUCCCAUCCCACAGCAUGCUUUGAAAGGAUUAAAGCCUGUUAUCACUCGUCUGUUACAGCAUGGCCUUUUAAAGCCUAUAAACUCUUCUUACCAUUCCCCCAUUUUACCUGUCCUAAAAUCAGACAAGGCUUAGAGGUUAGUUCAGAAUCUGCGCCUUAUCGACCAAAUUGUUUUGCCUAUCCACCCCAUGGUGCCAAACCCAUAUACUCUCCUAUCCUCAAUACCUCCCUCUACAACCCAUUAUUCUGUUCUGGAUCUCAAACAUGCUUUCUUUAUUAUUCCUUUGCACCCUUCAUCCCAGCCUCUCUUCGCUUUCACUUAGACUGACCCUGACACCCAUUAGGCUCAGCAAAUUACCUGGGCUGUACUGCUGCAAGGCUUCACAGAUAGCCCCCAUUACUUCAGUCAAGCACAAAUUUCAUCCUCAUCUGUUACCUAUCUCGGCAUAAUUCUCAUAAAAAUACACGUGCUCUCCCUGCUGAUCAUGUCUGAUUAAUCUCCCAAACCUCAAUCCCUUACAAAACAACAACUCCUUUCCUUCCUAGGCAUGGGUAGUGCGGUCAGAAUUCUUACACAAGUGCCAGGACCACACCCUGUAGCCUUUCUGUCCAAACAACUUGACCUUACUGUUUUAGCCUAGCCCUCAUGUCUGCAUGUAGUGGCUGCCGCUGCUUUAAUAUUUUCAGAGGCCCUAAAAAUCACAAACUAUGCUCAACUCACUCUCUACAGUUCUCAUAACUUCCAAAAUCUAUUUUCUUCCUCACACCUGAUGCAUAUACUUUCUGCUCCCCGGCUCCUUCAGCUGUACUCACUCUUUGUUAAGUCCCACAAUUACCAUUGUUCCUGGCCUGGACUUCAAUCCGGCCUCCCACAUUAUUCCUGAUACCACACCUGACCCUCAUGACUGUAUCUCUCUGAUCCACCUGACAUUCACCCCAUUUCCCCAUAUUUCCUUCUUUCCUGUUCCUCACCCUGAUCACGCUUGAUUUAUUGAUGGCAGUUCCACCAGGCCUAAUCGCCACACACCAGCAAAGGCAGGCUAUGCUAUAGUACAAGCCACUAGCCCGCCUCUUAGAACCUCUCAUUUUCUUUCCAUCGUGGAAACCUAUCCUCAAGGAAAUAACUUCUCAGUGUUCCAUCUGCUAUUCUACUACUCCUCAGGGAUUAUUCAGGCCCCCUCCCUUCCCUACACAUCAAGCUCGAGGAUUUGCCCCCACCGAGGACUGGCAAAUUAGCUUUACUCAACAUGCCCCAAGUCAGAUAACUAAAAUACCUCUUAGUCUAGGUAGACACUUGCACUGGAUAGGUACAGGCCUUUCCUACAGGGUCUGAGAAGGCCACCACAGUCAUUUCUUCCCUUCUGUCAGACAUAAUUCCUCAGUUUAGCCUUCCCACCUUUAUACAGUCUGAUAACAGAUCAGCCUUUAUUAGUCAAAUCGGCCGAGCAGUUUUUCAGGCUCUUAGUAUUCAGCGAAACCUUUAUAUCCCUUACGGUCCUCCGUCUUCAGGAAAAGUAGAACGGACUAAAGGUCUUUUAAAAACACACCUCACCAAGCUCAGCCACCAACUUAAAAAGGACUGGACAAUACUUUUACCACUUUCCCUUCUCAGAAGUCAGACCUGUCCUCAGAAUGCUACAGGGUACAGCCCAUUUGAGCUCCUGUAUAGAUUCUCCUUUUUAUUAGGCCCCAGUCUCAUUCCAGACACCAGACCAACUUGAACUAUGCCCCAAAAAAACUUGUCAUCCCUACUAUCUUCUGUCUAGUCAUACUCCUAUUCACCAUUCUCAACUACUCAUACAUGCCCUGCUCUUGUUUACACUGCUGGUUUACACUGUUUCUCCAAGCCAUCACAGCUGAUAUCUCCUGGUGCUAUCCCCAAACUGCGACUCUUAUCUCUUGAAGUAAAUAAAUAAUCUUUGCUGACAGGACUAUGCUGAAUCUCCUUAGGCACUCUCUAAUUAGAUGUCCUAGGUCCUCCCAAUUCUUAGGCCUUUAAUACCUGUUUUUCUCCUUCUCUUAUUCUGUUUAGUUUUUCAAUUCAUACAAAACCAUAUCCAGGCCAUCACCAAUAAUUCUAAAUGACAAAUGUUUCUUCUAACAACCCCACAGUAUCACCCCUUACCACAAGAUCUUCCUUCAGCUUAAUCUCUCCCACUCUAGGUUCCCACAUCGCCCCUAAUCCCGCUUGAAGCAGCCCUGAGAAACAUCGCCCAUUAUCUCUCCAUACCACCCCCAAAAAUUUUCACCACCCCAACACUUUACCACUAUAUCGUUUUAUUUUUCUUAUUAAUAUAAGAAGACAGGAAUGUCAGGCCUCUGAGCCCAAGCUAAGCCAUCAUAUCCCCUGUGGCCUCCAGGUACACAUCCAGAUGGCCAGUUCCUGCCUUAACUGAUGACAUUGUCUUGUGAAAUUCCUUCUCCUGGCUCAUCCUGGCUCAAAAGCUCCCCCACUGCGUACCUUGUGACCCCCACUCCUGCUCGCCAGAGAACAACCCCCCUUUUCCCUUUACCUAACCAAAUCCUAUAAAAUGGCCCCAUCCCAUCUCCCUUCGCUGACUCUCUUUUCGGACUCAGCCCACCUGCACCCAGGUGAAAUAAACAGCCAUGUUGCUCACACAAAGCCUGUUUGGUGGUCUCUUCACACGGACGUGCAUGAAACUACCUACACCCAUACGGAAGGGAACAAAUCAUGGUAAACCACAAGCACUAGUAGCAUUUAUGAUAGUUGCUGAAGAUCCUCCUUAGCUCCCAGCCUUCUGUUCUGUUCCAAGUCAGCCUGCCUCCUGAUGCUAGAUGUUCUUCCUUCUCCCUGACCUUUAUAAGAGAUCAUGGAAUUGAGGGCUGCACUGGAGCCUACCUCUGCUUUUAUGGAACACACUGAAUCUACUAAAAUCAGUGUUUUCUCACUAAAAGCAAGAUCUCAAUUAUGUAAAUAGUACAGGACUUCAAAAAUCUCAUUCACUGGUGAUUUCAGGUAGUUGGAUCUAGGAUACUGAGGGAGACAGAGCAUGAUCAAGCUUGUUCCUUGAUUGGCCAGAUAGUUAAUUCAGUUCAGUAUUUGCUCUGCAUAGACAGAGAUGUAUAGUUGUACAUAAUUGUUUAUUUUUGAUCCUAAAAGUCAGUCGUGCUAAGUAACUAGUUACAUACAUUUAGUGCUAGCACACACAUUUUUAGUUAUAGUCUUUAGAAAAACUAUAAGCUGUGUUUGAAUUAUGCUUCAACCACUAACUUUGUGACCUUGGCUAAAUCACAUAAACUCCCCAUAUCACUUUCCUUAGUCUUAAAUAAAGAUAACACACAGUGAGUGCUCAGGAAAUACCAACUCCUCUUUACCCCCGUACAUACUGCUCAGCCUGAAUGUUGCAUCUUCUGGGCCUUGCUCACUUUUGCCAAUGUGUGACUUGCUACAAAAACAUGUGUUCAUGGAUGAUAUGUCUUUUCAAAAACCUUCCCUCUAUGCCUAUCACGCUGGUAUUUUUUUAAGUUAGUCUAUCACUGAAAAUUCACAAACUCAUACCUGCCUGUUGAAACUAUGUCCUUGCUUCACAUUCUAACUGAAGAUCUAACUGUGAUAAAAUAUUUUUCACUCUCACUAUCCACGUUGUUUUACACAUCUACACUGGUGUCUGUCAACUUUGCAACAGAAUACACUUAUAUGUAAACCUCUUUCACUAAACCAUGAACCCAUAGAGUGCCAACCAUUUACAAUUAGUGUCAAUGUGGAAUUUUGUUCUCAACAGAUACUGGGUCAAUUAAAUAUUUUAUCAAAUAAUGAUCACUGCACCUGAAUACCAGAUAUGUUGACAUUUCCUUUUAAACUGGAGUACAUUUAUCUCCAUUACAGGGACUGUGUGGUCUAACGUUUAUAAACACUGUGCAUAGCAUUGAACCAUGAAGUUAACAUUUAUUAAUCAAUUUUGAGGCCUUAGUGUAUUUCAUAGUUUAAAUUGGUGUUCUGAUCAAAAGAAAAUAAGAAAAUGGUGGAACAAAAGUUUUAGAAAAAAAGGGUAGGGAAAGAGGCAAGAAGGAAGUAACAAAAUGAAGAUUCCUAGCCCUAUAGCAACAAAUAUCUAGCAGGUGCUGAAUGGUUGUUUUUCGUUUUUUGUUUUUUUUGUUUUUUUUUUUCAGAAAAGUAGUGGAAUGCUACAGCCUAGUCAGUUUUGAGAAAAGGCUAACCAACAGCAACAACAACAGAUCAUAGUCAUGCUCAGAUUGCACAUGAACAAAAAAAUGUUGGAGAGAAACCAUUGAAAUAACUCACCGGUCCUCUUGUGUUGCUGCUUAUCUGAUUAUCUGAGGUCAAGGGAACUGAGGACAACAAAGGAAAUUAGGUCUUUCAUAGUUCUCAUUAAAUGCUGGAGGAGUCUGACUACUGCUGAGCUGAGCACUUCAGCGGCUUUGGAAAAGGAAGUGUGGUUACUUAUUUCACCACCUUCAUUGUGCUGGAGGAAAUAAGAAAUAGCUCUGAGACUAAUAAUAACAGAAACGGCAUCCACAGCAGCAGAGCCCAGUUGCGCUUCCUAAAGGCAGUAUAAAUAAUUAAGUGUCUCUAUAGGCAAGCCACUAGGAAUAAAUGAAAAAGAGCUGCAAUUGCUGAUGUGGUUUCACCCCAGUCCUGCCCAUGUUUCUUAACAGGAAAGGGAGUUGCAAUGCCAAUAAUAAAAUCUUAGAGCUGGAAAGAACAUUUAUUUGCCUGUUUAUUCAUUCAUUUACUCAGUCAUUAUUGGGCACUUACAGUAGACUAGUCGUUAUGUUACCUACUAGGAGCUUGGAUAUCACCCACUUUUAUGUCUUCAUUCUUUGAGAGAAGAGCUAUCUACAUGGUGAGUCCAAAAGUGCACAAGAGGAAACCUGGCUUGUCCAAACCAAGGGCUAUAACUUAGUUUCCUAACUGCCCAGCAAAAAUAUUUUCAAUUAGGCUCCACUUUAACUCUUAAAAAUGUGGCUUGUGAGUUACUUGAUGAAUAAUUUUACUUUCUUGAUUAUAUUAAGCACAAAAAGGAAGAGAAACACAAUUACAAUAUUAAAAUUGUGAAAGGCAUCUCACCAAGGUGCUGCUUCUGAGAACUCCAUGUCUCCAUUGCUUAUUUGAAACCUUUAUUUUGCUUGGCCUCUGGGUCCCACUGCCUCUGGAUUUACUUCUCACCUGCUGACUGCUCCUUCUUUUUUACUUUUUCUGUGUGCUCUCCA